AUUCGCGGCCUAUCAGCUUGUUGGUGAGGUAAUGGCUCACCAAGGCGUCGACGGGUAGCCGGCCUGAGAGGGUGACCGGCCACACUGGGACUGAGACACGGCCCAGACUCCUACGGGAGGCAGCAGUGGGGAAUAUUGCACAAUGGGCGGAAGCCUGAUGCAGCAACGCCGCGUGAGGGAUGACGGCCUUCGGGUUGUAAACCUCUUUUAGCAGGGAAGAAGCGAGAGUGACGGUACCUGCAGAAAAAGCGCCGGCUAACUACGUGCCAGCAGCCGCGGUAAUACGUAGGGCGCAAGCGUUAUCCGGAAUUAUUGGGCGUAAAGAGCUCGUAGGCGGUUUGUCGCGUCUGCUGUGAAAACCCGAGGCUCAACCUCGGGCCUGCAGUGGGUACGGGCAGACUAGAGUGCGGUAGGGGAGAUUGGAAUUCCUGGUGUAGCGGUGGAAUGCGCAGAUAUCAGGAGGAACACCGAUGGCGAAGGCAGAUCUCUGGGCCGUAACUGACGCUGAGGAGCGAAAGGGUGGGGAGCAAACAGGCUUAGAUACCCUGGUAGUCCACCCCGUAAACGUUGGGAACUAGUUGUGGGGGCCUUUCCACGGUCUCCGUGACGCAGCUAACGCAUUAAGUUCCCCGCCUGGGGAGUACGGAAU
rnacentral:rRNA from 1 species